rnacentral:rRNA from 1 species
AAACGGGAGCAGACUAACAGGAUUCCCCUAGUAACUGCGAGUGAAGCGGGAAAAGCUCAAAUUUAAAAUCUGGCGGUCUUUGGCUGUCCGAGUUGUAAUCUAGAGAAGUGCUAUCCGCGCUGGACCGUGUACAAGUCUCCUGGAACGGAGCGUCAUAGAGGGUGAGAAUCCCGUCUUUGACACGGACUACCAGGGCUUUGUGAUGUGCUCUCAAAGAGUCGAGUUGUUUGGGAAUGCAGCUCUAAAUGGGUGGUAAAUUCCAUCUAAAGCUAAAUAUUGGCGAGAGACCGAUAGCGAACAAGUACCGUGAGGGAAAGAUGAAAAGAACUUUGGAAAGAGAGUUAAACAGUACGUGAAAUUGUUGAAAGGGAAACGCUUGAAGUCAGUCGCGUUGGCUGGGGAUCAACCUUGCUCUUUUGCUUGGUGUACUUUCCAGUUGACGGGUCAGCAUCAAUUUUGACCGGUGGAUAAAGGUCAGGGGAAUGUGGCAUCCUCGGAUGUGUUAUAGCCCUUGGUUGCAUACAUCGGUUGGGAUUGAGGAACUCAGCACGCCGCAAGGCCGGGUCUUUGACCACGUACGUGCUUAGGAUGCUGGCAUAAUGGCUUUAAUCGACCCGUCUUGAAAG